ACAACAACAUUCGGACCGUCGGUCUACCGAGCAAUAUCACCCGCUCGGUGGAAGAUCUUCCCUUUCGUCGUUAAGC
rnacentral:pre_miRNA from 1 species